rnacentral:rRNA from 1 species
GACGAACGCUGGCGGCGUGCUUAACACAUGCAAGUCGAACGGAAAGGCCCUGCUUUUGUGGGGUGCUCGAGUGGCGAACGGGUGAGUAACACGUGAGUAACCUGCCCUUGACUUUGGGAUAACUUCAGGAAACUGGGGCUAAUACCGGAUAGGAGCUCCUGCUGCAUGGUGGGGGUUGGAAAGUUUCGGCGGUUGGGGAUGGACUCGCGGCUUAUCAGCUUGUUGGUGGGGUAGUGGCUUACCAAGGCUUUGACGGGUAGCCGGCCUGGGAGGGUGACCGGCCACAUUGGGACUGAGAUACGGCCCAGACUCCUACGGGAGGCAGCAGUGGGGAAUAUUGCACAAUGGGCGGAAGCCUGAUGCAGCAACGCCGCGUGCGGGAGGACGGCCUUCGGGUUGUAAACCGCUUUCGCCUGUGACGAAGCGUGAGUGACGGUAAUUGGUAAAGAAGCACCGGCUAACUACGU